AGGUCAAGUAGAAAAGGGCGCACGGUGAAUGCCUAGGCACUAACAGCCGAAGAAGGACGUGACGAACUACGAAAAGCUUCGGGGAGCGGUAAGUACGCAGUGAUCCGGAGAUAUCCGAAUGGGGGAACCCAAUGCAGAGAUGCAUUAUUGAUUAGUGAAUAGAUAGCUAAUCAAAGGAAGACGCAGUGAACUGAAACAUCUAAGUAGCUGCAGGAAGAGAAAGAAAGAUCGAUUUCCUUAGUAGCGGCGAGCGAAGAGGAAAGAGCCCAAACCAAGUGAUUUAUCAUUUGGGGUUGUAGGACUGCGACGUGGCAGUGUAAGAGAUAGUUGAAUUAUCUGGGAAGGUAAGCCAGAGAGGGUGAGAGCCCCGUAAGCGAAAUCUCAAGCACGCCUAGCAGAAUCCUGAGUAGGCCGGGACACGAGGAAUCCCGGUUGAAACCGCGAGGACCAUCUCGCAAGGCUAAAUACUAGUUAGUGACCGAUAGUGAACCAGUACCGUGAGGGAAAGGUGAAAAGAACCCCGGAAGGGGAGUGAAAAAGAACCUGAAACCGUGUGUCUACAAGUAGUCAAAGCACGUUAAAGUGCAAUGGCGUGCCUUUUGUAGAAUGAACCGGCGAGUUACGUUAUCUAGCGAGGUUAAGUCAGAAAAGACGGAGCCGGAGCGAAAGCGAGUCUUAAUAGGGCGAAAAGUUAGGUGACGUAGACCCGAAACCAAGUGACCUACCCAUGACCAGGCUGAAGGUGUGGUAAAACGCACUGGAGGGCCGAACCCACGUAAGUUAAAAAUUGCGGGGAUGAGUUGUGGGUAGCGGUGAAAUUCCAAACGAACUUGGAGAUAGCUGGUUCUCUCCGAAAUAGCUUUAGGGCUAGCCUCGUGGAGAGGAUAAUGGAGGUAGAGCUCUGUUUGGACUAGGGGCCCGUCAGGGGUUACUGAAUCCAGAUAAACUACGAAUUCCAGAUAUCCAUACACGGGAGUCAGACUGCGAGUGAUAAGAUCCGUAGUCGAAAGGGAAACAGCCCAGAUCACCAGUUAAGGUCCCCAAAUCUAUGCUAAGUGGAAAAGGAUGUGGAGUUGCGUAGACAACUAGGACGUUGGCUCAGAAGCAGCCAUCAUUCAAAGAGUGCGUAAUAGCUCACUAGUCGAGUGGCGCUGCGCCGAAAAUUUACCGGGGCUAAGCAUAGUACCGAAACUGUGGAUGUGUUUUAAAGAGCACGUGGUAGGAGAGCGUUCUAAG
rnacentral:rRNA from 1 species